AUUGAACGCUGGCGGCGUGCUUUACACAUGCAAGUCGGACGAGUGGCGAACGGGUGAGUAACGCAUCGGAACGUACCGAGCAUAGGGGUCUAACUGUCCGAACGGAUAGCUAAUACCGCAUAUUAUUCGAGCGGCCGAUGUCGCAUUAGCUGGCUGGCGGGGUAAAGGCACACCAAGGCGACGAUGAGUAGCGGGUCUGAGAGGAUGAUCCGCCACACUGGGACUGAGACACGGCCCAGACUCCUACGGGAGGCAGCAGUGGGGAAUUUUGGACAAUGGGCGCAAGCCUGAUCCAGCCAUGCCGCGUGUCUGAAGAAGGCCUUCGGGUUGUAAAGGUCUGUUGUCAGGGAAGCGGUACCUGAAGAGUAAGCACCGGCUAACUACGUGCCAGCAGCCGCGGUAAUUC
rnacentral:rRNA from 1 species